UACGGGGGGGGCAAGCGUUGUUCGGAAUUACUGGGCGUAAAGGGCUCGUAGGCGGCCAACUAAGUCAGACGUGAAAUCCCUCGGCUUAACCGGGGAACUGCAUCUGAUACUGGAUGGCUUGAGUUCGGGAGAGGGAUGCGGAAUUCCAGGUGUAGCGGUGAAAUGCGUAGAUAUCUGGAGGAACACCGGUGGCGAAGGCGGCAUCCUGGACCGGCAUUGACGCUGAGGCGCGAAAGCCAGGGAGCAAACGGG
rnacentral:rRNA from 1 species